rnacentral:tRNA from 1 species
GCCAGCGUAGCUCAGUUGGCAGAGCAGCUGAUUUGUAAUCAGCCGGUCGCGGGUUCGAAUCCCUCCGCUGGCUC